rnacentral:tRNA from 1 species
GGUGCUGGGGCUCAGUGGUGGAGCGCUUGCCUAGCAUGUGUGAGGCACUGGGUUCGAUUCCCAGCACCACGU